UACGGAGGGUGCAAGCGUUAUCCGGAUUUACUGGGUUUAAAGGGUGCGUAGGUGGGUCUGUAAGUCAGUGGUGAAAUCUCCGGGCUUAACCCGGAAACUGCCAUUGAUACUAUAGGUCUUGAAUAUCCUGGAGGUGAGCGGAAUAUGUCAUGUAGCGGUGAAAUGCUUAGAUAUGACAUAGAACACCAAUUGCGAAGGCAGCUCACUACGGGAUUAUUGACACUGAGGCACGAAAGCGUGGGGAUCAAACAGG
rnacentral:rRNA from 1 species